UGGGGAAUAUUGGACAAUGGGCGCAAGCCUGAUCCAGCAAUGCCGCGUGUGUGAAGAAGGCCUUCGGGUUGUAAAGCACUUUUAUCAGGAGCGAAACGCUGUCGGCUAAUACCCGGCGGAACUGACGGUACCUGAGGAAUAAGCACCGGCUAACUUCGUGCCAGCAGCCGCGGUAAUACGAAGGGUGCAAGCGUUAAUCGGAAUUACUGGGCGUAAAGCGUGCGUAGGCGGUUUCUUAAGUCUGCUGUGAAAUCCCCGGGCUCAACCUGGGAAUGGCAGUGGAUACUGGGAGGCUAGAGUGUGUCAGAGGGUGGUGGAAUUCCCGGUGUAGCGGUGAAAUGCGUAGAGAUCGGGAGGAACAUCAGUGGCGAAGGCGGCCACCUGGGACAACACUGACGCUGAGGCACGAAAGCGUGGGGAGCAAACAGGAUUAGAUACCCUGGUAGUCCACGCCCUAAAAGCGAUGCGAACUGGAUGUUGGUCUCAACUCGGAGAUCAGUGUCGAAGCUAACGCGUUAAGUUCGCCGCCUGGGGAGUACGGUCGCAAGACU
rnacentral:rRNA from 1 species